rnacentral:rRNA from 1 species
GACGAACGCUGGCGGCGUGCUUAACACAUGCAAGUCGAACGGAAAGGCCCUGCUUGCAGGGUACUCGAGUGGCGAACGGGUGAGUAACACGUGGGUGAUCUGCCCUGCACUUCGGGAUAAGCCUGGGAAACUGGGUCUAAUACCGGAUAGGAGCCAUUUUUAGUGUGAUGGUUGGAAAGUUUUUUCGGUGUAGGAUGAGCUCGCGGCCUAUCAGCUUGUUGGUGGGGUAAUGGCCUACCAAGGCGGCGACGGGUAGCCGGCCUGAGAGGGUGGACGGCCACAUUGGGACUGAGAUACGGCCCAGACGCCGACGGGAGGCAGCAGUGGGGAAGAUUGCACAAUGGGCGCAAGCCGGAUGCAGCGACGCCGCGUGGGGGAUGACGGCCUUCGGGUUGUAAACUCCUUUCGCUAGGGACGAAGCUUUUUGUGACGGUACCUAGAUAAGAAGCACCGGCUAACUACGUG